CCUGGAUUUCGUUCAGCAUCAGCUUUCAAUUUCCGCUCCCUGGAACCGUGGCGUGGGAGGAUGAACGUCCAUCCUAUUGUUGGGAAUAUUGUCGCAUCCCAAAAUUCAACAGCAUCGUGAGAGUCUCCGAAGAGUGCAAGGCUGCAACAGUGAAAUAGAGACUAUCUCAUCCCAUCUCAUCACCUCUGGAUCAGCAUCCACAAGAAUCCAGAAGAUGACAUUUGUGGUCUUUAGAAAGCAAAGGAAAGAUACAGAAAUUAAAAAUAAAGAGACUGCUUAUGAUUGAA